rnacentral:rRNA from 1 species
GAUCCUGGCUCAGGAUGAACGCUAGCUACAGGCUUAACACAUGCAAGUCGAGGGGCAGCAGGGCAAUAGCUUGCUAUGCUGCUGGCGACCGGCGCACGGGUGAGUAACGCGUAUCCAACCUACCCCGCGGUCAGGGACAGCCCGGCGAAAGUCGGAUUAAUACCUGAUGCAGUCAGAAGAGGGCAUCUGAUUUUGACGAAAGAUUUAUCGCCUCGGGAUGGGGGAUGCGUAGGAUUAGGCAGGCGGCGGGGUAACGGCCCACCGCGCCGACGAUCCUUAGGGGUUCUGAGAGGAAGGUCCCCCACACUGGUACUGUGACACGGACCAGACUCCUACGGGAGGCAGCAGUGAGGAAUAUUGGUCAAUGGGCGCGAGCCUGAACCAGCCAAGUAGCGUGCCAGGACGACGGCCCUAUGGGUUGUAAACUGCUUUUAUGCGGGGAUAAAGUGCGGCACGUGUGCCGUUUUGUAGGUACCGCAUGAAUAAGGACCGGCUAAUUCCGUGCCAGCAGCAGC